GACGAACCGUGCAAACGUUAUUCGGAAUCACUGGGCAUAAAGGGCGCGUAGGCGGCUCCAAAAGUCAGGGGUGAAAUCCGGCAGCUUAACUGUCGCAGUGCCUUUGAUACUGUGGAGCUAGAGGGAGGUAGGGGUCUGUGGAACUUCCGGUGGAGCGGUGAAAUGCGUUGAUAUCGGAAGGAACACGGCGGUGCGAAAGCGACGGACUGGAUCUCUUCUGACGCUGAGGCGCGAAAGCCAGGGGAGCAAACGGG
rnacentral:rRNA from 1 species